rnacentral:rRNA from 1 species
AGGGUUUGAUCCUGGCUCAGAACGAACGCUGGCGGCAGGCCUAACACAUGCAAGUCGAGCGCACCCCUUCGGGGGCGAGCGGCGGACGGGUUAGUAGCGCGUGGGAACAUACCCAAUGGUACGGAAUAGCCUCGGGAAACUGAGAGUAAUACCGUAUGUGCCCUUCGGGGGAAAGAUUUAUCGCCAUUGGAUUGGCCCGCGUUAGAUUAGAUAGUUGGUGGGGUAAUGGCCUACCAAGUCUACGAUCUAUAGCUGGUUUUAGAGGAUGAUCAGCAACACUGGGACUGAGACACGGCCCAGACUCCUACGGGAGGCAGCAGUGGGGAAUCUUAGACAAUGGGCGCAAGCCUGAUCUAGCCAUGCCGCGUGUGUGAUGAAGGCCUUAGGGUCGUAAAGCACUUUCGCCAGAGAUGAUAAUGACAGUAUCUGGUAAAGAAACCCCGGCUAACUCCGUGCCAGCAGCCGCGGUAAUACGGAGGGGGUUAGCGUUGUUCGGAAUUACUGGGCGUAAAGCGUACGUAGGCGGAUCAGAAAGUAUGGGGUGAAAUCCCAGGGCUCAACCCUGGAACUGCCUCAUAAACUCCUGGUCUUGAGUUCGAGAGAGGUGAGUGGAAUUCCAAGUGUAGAGGUGAAAUUCGUAGAUAUUUGGAGGAACACCAGUGGCGAAGGCGGCUCACUGGCUCGAUACUGACGCUGAGGUACGAAAGUGUGGGGAGCAAACAGGAUUAGAUACCCUGGUAGUCCACACCGUAAACGAUGAAUGCCAGUCGUCGGGCAGUAUACUGUUCGGUGACACACCUAACGGAUUAAGCAUUCCGCCUGGGGGAGUACGGUCGCAAGAUUAAAACUCAAAGGAAUUGACG